rnacentral:rRNA from 1 species
UGGCCAUAUCACGUUGAAACACCAAUUCCCAUACGAUCACCAAAGUUAAGCAACGUCGAGCCUGGUCAGUACCUCAAUUGGUGACCGCUUCGGAAUACCAGCUGCUGUUU